GGGUGCGUAACGCGUAUGCAAUCUACCUUUUACAGAGGGAUAGCCCAGAGAAAUUUGGAUUAGUACCUCAUAGUGUUAUGGCAUCUAAAGUUCCGGUAAAAGAUGAGCAUGCGUCCUAUUAGCUAGAUGGUAAGGUAACGGCUUACCAUGGCUACGAUAGGUAGGGGUCCUGAGAGGGAGAUCCCCCACACUGGUACUGAGACACUGACCAGACUCCUACGGGAGGCAGCAGUGAGGAAUAUUGGACAAUGGGCGCAAGCCUGAUCCAGCCAUGCCGCGUGCAGGAAGACGCAUUAUGGUGUGUAAACUGCUUUUGUACGGGAAGAAUGACGGUACCGUAAGAAUAAGGAUCGGCUAACUCCGUGCCAGCAGACGCGGUAAUACGGAGGAUCCAAGCGUUAUCCGGAAUCAUUGGGUUUAAAGGG
rnacentral:rRNA from 1 species